rnacentral:rRNA from 1 species
AUGUGUUAUUUUGAAAAAAAUCAGCUGUUUUUUCACAAGGCAUGGCGCCAAGCGACGUCGGUGGAGGUGGACUCCAUCCUCUUCGGCUUCUACACCGACGACGAGGUCCGGCGGCUCAGCGUCAAGCGGCUCACCAGGUCCGAGCGCCUCGACGCCAAGAACUGCCCCGUGCCCGGCGGCCUGCUCGACCCCGCCAUGGGCCCCGUCAACGCCAACGACACCUGCAAGACCUGCGCGCAGCAGCCCGGCGACUGCCCGGGCCACUUCGGCCACAUCGAGCUCUCCAAGCCGCUCUUCAACCCGCUGCUCUUCGACACCCUCCGGGACCUCCUCCGCUCCACCUGCUUCACCUGCCGCAAGUUCCGCCUCAGCGCCCAGCUGGUCGACAGGUACGCCCGCGAGCUUGAGCUGCUGGCGAGGGGCCAUCUUGUCCAGGCCAAGAACUUGCAAGAUUCCGCUGUUGAAAUGGACGAAAGCGCUGAAAUGGACGAUGGCGACGACGAUUCGGUUGAUAAACCUUCUCACCGAGGGAACAAAACCUGGACAUCCAUCCAGUUGAAAGAGGCCCAUUCUAUCUUCUCCAAGCUGAUGAAGAAGCGAGUGAACAAGUGUGCAAACUGCGGCAUGAAGAACCCACCUAUCAAAUGCCAGAUAUAUGGUUGGCUCACCAUUCAGGGUACAGAUGGUUCUGCUGUAAGAAGAAAAGCAAUCGCUGAUUAUAAUCUUGAAGGAGAUGGCCAUAUUUCCAACCCAAAUGGAACUGGUGUUUCUGGUCUUACGGAUGAUAGAGUUAAAGCAUCAAGCAAUCAAACAAAAGACCUUUCUGAUGAUAGACCUCUCUUGACUACGGAGGUUGAAUCUAUUCUCAAAGACCUGUGGGAAAAGGAAGCCAGGUUCUGCAUGUUACUAUGCGACUUUCAGCAGAAUUUAUGUGUAUCAGAAAAGAGGAGGGGCUAUGAGAUGUUUUUCUUGAAGAGUAUGCUUGUGCCACCAAAUAGAUUCCGUCCUUCAACUAGUUCUAGCCUUGGAAUUAUGGAACAUCCACAAAAUGUUAUGCUAAGUAAAGUGCAAGAGGCCAAUCUUGCGCUACAGCAUGACAAUCCUAAUCACAUGGAUAUUCUUACAAGAUGGAGGGAUCUGCAAACAAGUGUAAAUUUAUUUUACGAUAGUAGUAAAGGCCUUGGAAAAAGCGGGAAAGAUGGUCAUGGUGUACGACAAUUGGUGGAUAAGAAAACUGGGAUUGUUCGACAGAAAAUAAUGGGCAAGAGAGUUAAUCAUUCCUGCCGUACGGUUAUAUCUCCGGAUCCGUUUUUAGCUGUUAACGAAAUUGGGAUUCCUCCUGCUGCUGCUUUAAAGCUGACUUAUCCUGAGAAAGUGACGCCCUGGAAUGCCAAAAAGCUACAAGGAGCUAUAAGUAAUGGCUCGGAAAUUCAUCCUGGUGCGACACGCUUGAAGGUUAACAAUCACAUGUAUAAAUUACAGGAUGACCGUAACAAACGUCGUGGCAUUGCUAAGAUGUUGGCUGCUUCUAAAGGAUCAAUUUCUCAACCAGGGAAGGACCCUAAAUGUGAAUUUGAAAGCAAAGUUGUAUAUCGACAUAUUCAAGAUGGUGACAUUGUACUGGUCAACAGACAGCCUACUCUUCACAAGCCCAGCAUGAUGGCCCAUGUUGUUCGUGUGUUGGCUGGAGAGAAGACAAUUCGAAUGCACUAUGCCAAUUGCAGUACAUACAAUGCUGAUUUUGAUGGGGAUGAAAUGAAUGUGCACUUCCCACAAGAUGAAAUAUCUCGGGCUGAGGCCAUCAACAUUGUUGAUGCAAAUAAGCAGUACAUUGGUCCAAGGAGUGGGGAGGCUGUCAGAGGUCUCAUUCAGGACCACAUUGUUGGUGCUGUUCUCCUGACAAAAGUGGACACAUUCUUGAGCCGUGAGGAAUACAGUCAGCUUGUCUAUGGGUCUUGUGUGUCCUCAACUCGUGGUCCUUGUCAAUCUGGUAAAAGGGUAUCCAUUGUGAAUGAUGAUGACACAUUGGAACUUCUUCCUCCAGCUUUUGUCAAGCCAGAGCGGUGGACGGGAAAACAGGUCAUAACAACCAUCUUGAACCAUUUAACGAAAGGCCACCCACCAUUUACUGUGGAGAUGAAAGGGAAAAUUUCAGUACAAUAUCUAACAGCUAAAGUACGCCAUGUUGCUGAAGGAGAAAAACUUAGAGAUCCUGAAGAACUAGUUUUAUAUAUUCGCCAUAAUGAGCUCUUAAAGGGCAUGAUAGACAAGAACCAGUUCGGGAAUCACGGGAUAGUACAUACAGUUCAUGAACUCUAUGGUGCAGAUGCAGCUGGAAGAUUGCUCUCGAUUUUCAGCCGCUUGUUUACAUUGUUCUUGCAGUUUCAUGGAUUUACUUGUGGAAUAGAUGAUCUGUUACUAUCCCAAGAGUCAAAUAACGAGAGGACGGAUUUUUUGUCGAAAAGUGAGGAACACAGUGAAGAAGCCCAUAAGAAAUUUCUGUGCGAGAAAGAUGUUGAUACAGAUCUAGUGAAAUUGCAAAUGAAGGUCGAAAAGGUUGUUCGGAGAAUAGGAGAAUCUGCGAACGUUGCGUUGGAUAAAGCAAUGUUAAGCGAACUAAAUGGGUUAACAACUAAGGUCAACAAGAACAUGUUUCCCUAUGGUCUACAAAAGCCCUUCCCUAAAAAUUGUCUCACUCUUAUGACUGCAACUGGAGCAAAAGGAGGCGAUGUUAACAUGACACAAAUCUCGUCAUUGCUAGGCUCACAAGAUUUAGAAGGAGCGCGUGUUCCACGAAUGAUAUCUGGGAAGUCAUUACCUUGCUUUCCACCAUGGGAUAGUUCUUCAAGAGCUGGUGGUUACGUCAGUGACAGAUUUUUAACUGGUCUCCGCCCUCAAGAGUACUAUUUCCACUGUAUGGCUGGCAGAAAUGGGUUGAUUGACACAGCAGUCAAAACAUCUCGUAGUGGAUAUCUUCAGCGUUGUCUUAUCAAAAGUCUUGAAUCAUUGUUUGUUUCAUAUGAUCACUCUGUGCGUAAUGUUGAUGGAUCAAUCAUACAAUUCUGCUAUGGAGAAGAUGGAGUUGAUGUCCAUAAAAGUAGCUUCCUCAAAAAGUUUAAAGAACUCGCUGAUAAUAGAAAAGCUGUGUCUGACAGGCUUGCGAGGUACAAGGGUGAGCUUGAGAUCUACAAUGGCGAUCCCCUGUUAUUCAAGUCCAAAUACAUUACUAAACUGCCUCAAGAGCUCACCGAAAGCGCAACGGAUUUUCACAAUAAAAACAAGUGUUGCUGCCGCAAGCUUAAAAAGAAGUGUCGCUGCCAUUAUAACAUCAAGGAGGAGGAACUAAUGAAGUUACUGAAAGUCAAGUACAUGGCUAGCCUUGUAGAUCCUGGUGAAGCUGUUGGUGUGAUCCUUGCUCAGUCCUUAGGAGAACCUUCAACGCAGAUGACGCUCAACACUUUCCAUCUUGCUGGAAGAGGGGACAUGAAUGUCACACUUGGGAUGCCUCGCAUACAGGAAAUCCUAAUGAAAGCAUCAGCUAAUAUUGGCACACCUUAUAUGAAGUGCCCUGUGCAUAAAGGCAAGAAGAGGAAGGAUGCUGCACGUCUGGCUGAAAAACUAAGGGGUGUUACGUUGGCUGAUGUUGUGGAAGGAAUUGAAGUAUGCACAGUUCCUUUUCACAAUAGUAAUGGGCAUAUUUCGAGUCUCUAUAAGUUGCAUCUAAAACUAUUCUCACCAGACUGUUACCCUCCUGAGUCGGAACUUACAGUAGAUGAGUGUCAAGCAUCCUUGAGAACUGUGUUUGUUGAUGCUAUGGAAUAUGCAAUCGAAAAACACCUAAAUUUGCUACACAAAGUUAGUGGAAUCCAGGAAACAAGGGUAAAGGACACUGAGAGUUUACCAUCAGAAGGUCCUGAAGAAUCCGAGGGCAGACCUACUGACGGUGACGAGUCUGAUGCGAGUGAUGGUGACGAUGAAAAUGAGGACGACUUGGGAGCUGAUGCAGAAAAGAGGAAACGACAAGAGAAUGAUGAGAUGGAGUAUGAGGAUGAUAUUGAAAAUGAAGAUGGCAUGAACAGUGACCCUGAUGAAGAGACAAAACAUGAACUUGAUAAUGAGGAUGAUCCAGCUGAGUCUGGUGGAGAAUCAGAAGAGAAUAACGAAGGACAUUUGUCAGAUUCCAGUAACAAGACUGCAAAAUUAGAAGGCAGGCUUGCAGCUAGUAAACUCAAGGAGAGUAAUGAAACGGUGGAAAACUUGGAGGAGCAGAAGCAGGCACAAAUAACCCGGAAACGCAGCAAAAAGUUAAAGCUGACUGUUCAUGUUGAAAGCGCAGAUUUGAAUUUUGAGGUUCACUACAUCUUGCACAAGGAACCACAUAUUUUACUAUCCCAGAUUGCCCAGAAGACGUUGAGGUCCCUAUUUGUCAGUGGAUCCCAUAACAAAAACAUAGGUCUAUGUAAUGUUAUUUGGCCAGAGAAGGAAAAGAAAGGUGAAAGUGAAAGCAAACAAAAAGAGACGGAGAGGAAAGAUGACUUUCGAGGGCUGCAAACGGCAGGACUGGACUUUGAGGUAUUCUGGGAUCUGCAGGACUUACUGGACGUCCGCAAGCUUACAUCUAAUGACAUACAUGCUAUGUUGAGGACAUACGGGGUGGAGGCUGCGAGGGCCACCAUCAUUAACGAGGUGAAGGCCGUGUUUGAGCCCUUUGGCAUCAAGGUAGACCCGAGGCACCUGAGCCUGGCUGCUGAUUUCAUGACCUCGGGAGGCUCCUACCGACCGAUGAACAGCCUCGGGAUGGCCCGGUUCUGCACGUCGCCGUUUGGCAAGAUGAGCUUUGAGCAGGCCACGAGGUUCAUCAUGGAGGCGGCCUACCACGGGGAGGUGGACAACCUCACCGGCCCUUCGGCGACCGUGUCCCUGGGGAAACCGGCCAAGACGGGGACGGGUGCCUUUGGGCUGCUGCAGAAUAUCGCCCUGGAGGAGCGGGCGGUGAUGUAA